rnacentral:lncRNA from 1 species
UAUCCAAACAGGUUCCAGUGGGAGUGGCUGCUGUCCUGGCGGCCAGAAGCUCCCUGGAGAGGUUUUGUUCUGCAGGUAGCGACAGGACCUCCCCAGAAGCCUGAAGAAGCCAAAGAAAUUGUUUGUUUCACCCGAUAAGACGCCGAGAUAGUGAAGCGAAGGCCACAAUCCAGGCCAUCACUCAUUAAUCCAUAAUGAGUAUCAUGACUUCCAGGUUGGGGUGACCUGACAGUUGGCUGAUACACAGGCUGUUCCCGUAAGAGUCUUUACACAGGGACCAUGAAGGUACAGGAAGGACAUUCCAUGUCCUUCUACAGGGAUGUGGAGAGUGAAGAUUUGUCCGCUACUGGCCAGCUAUCAGCUACUCACGCUACUUCAGAAUUCUGCACUCUGACUUUCACGAGCAUAGUGUGCUGUGUUUCCUAUUUAGACACUCAGUGCACCAGGACUGUAUGUUGAAGUCUACCAUCUGACCGACUCUCAUCUCUGCUAACGUUUGCCUUAUACAUGUUGAGGCAAGAGCAUCAAGGGAACUCCAGAAGACGUCCUCUACCUUCUCAAGUCUGAAGACUGAGAACAACUCAUCAACUCCUUACAUUUCUUUUUUCAAUUGAUAUGUGUGGUGGUGGUGGUGGUGGUGGUGUGUAUGUGUCCUCCUAUGUAUAUGGGCAUGCAGAGACCAAAGGAGGGUGGCAGGUGUCCUGACAUAUCACUCACUCUCCACUUGCCUCAUUCCUUCAGGACAGGGCCUUUCACUGAGACUGGAGCUAGGCUGGUGGCUAGCAAGCCCCAGGGAUCCUCUGGCACUGGGACGGAUUCGAGCAGGCAUAGCUGUUCUGCGCCUCACACACAUGGCAGGUGAGCGCUGUGAGCCCACGAGUGGAACAUUGGAGAGCAAAGAAGAGAAAAUGAGACUACUGUUCAUCCUGCAGUACUAAACCUGUCAUCCUGUUCCAUGUGGCCACCAAGUCCAGGGCUUAGGGAUCAGUACUUACCGUUACUCUGCACCAACUGUAAGCCCAGAACUACGAGCAAGGCCACUAGGAACGCCAUCUCCAGAGGAUGCCUGGUCCUGUUGAGGAAAGGAGCGAGUGGCUAGCUCUGUUCACUGAAGUCCCCAGUCCCGCGUGGCACGGAACGCUCCCUCUCCUGGUCUGGAUGCCAGCCCCACCCCCCACCUCGCCGCUGCCCCUGGCCUCCCUAUCUCUAUGUUCCGCUGACUUCCAAGCCCUCACACCGUGGAGAAUCUUUCUCACACUUUCUACCCCAGAUAGUCGAUGUUCUGGACCGCUUGCCGGCCCUUGAAACGAACGGUUAAUUUGCUGGCAACCCUCAACCACACUCACUUCCUCAGCAGCCCGUGCCUCAGCGUGUCCACGGGUCCCUGCGUCUGACUGGCGAAGUCGGAGACUCAGCUAGUUUGGGGUCGCUCUUCCCACACUGCCCCCUACAGGGUGCCGUUGGUCCCCUUCUGGAACAUUCCGGCUCCCGCAGCCUCCGCGUCUCAUUGAGGUCCGCCCAGGGAGGACGGAGAGCUCAGAGUCUGCAAGACACCCAGCUAACAGCGCCCUCUGCCUGACCCCACGAUAGUUACUCACAUCUUAGCAAGAACCUUCUUCCUGGCAGCCAGACACCAGACAGCCCCACUCUGACAAGAUGUGGUGCCAGAGCCUGUGUUCAGAUUAGUUCCGUGAACGAACACAACAUGCGCAAGCUACUAGAUCGACGGGUUUACGGGAACACAGCUCCUUCAGACUGGCACAGGAAGCGCGUCUGCAGAUUUUUUUCGUUGAGCUGUCCCCUAGAGAACUCCAGCCAAACCCGUUCCCAUUUCUCUUGCCUCCUUUUGACCCUGCUUUCUCCCCACGGUCCUGUGAUAAUGUUUUUAUUUUUAUUUUUUAUUUUCCACAGUUGCAUGAAUUCCCUAGCCAGAAUUUAGCUCAGCAUGUUUAAACAGUCUCCGUUAAGAUAGGAAAUAAGUUUUUUGGAAGAAUUUGUUAUAGGCAGUACUGUAUUGUCUAGAAUGUCACUCUCAGUGUAUGUACAAGGGCAGCUUCCCACCAGUGAGGUGGAAAGUCAAAGGGUUAGAUGUAUUUGCAACUUAGACCACUAUGCCCAAGUUGAUUGAUAGAUCAGUGGAUAACUUUGUCCUUAUGAUAAACAUAGGUAAUAAUAUGUACACUAUUUGUUUUUAAGUAAACAGCAUUCUUAUCUAUUG